rnacentral:rRNA from 1 species
AUUGAACGCUGGCGGCAGGCUUAACACAUGCAAGUCGAGCGGGGAAAGGUAGCUUGCUACCUGACCUAGCGGCGGACGGGUGAGUAAUGCUUAGGAAUCUGCCUAUUAGUGGGGGACAACAUUCCGAAAGGAAUGCUAAUACCGCAUACGCCCUACGGGGGAAAGCAGGGGAUCUUCGGACCUUGCGCUAAUAGAUGAGCCUAAGUCAGAUUAGCUAGUUGGUGGGGUAAAGGCCUACCAAGGCGACGAUCUGUAGCGGGUCUGAGAGGAUGAUCCGCCACACAGGGACUGAGACACGGCCCAAACUCCUACGGGAGGCAGCAGUGAGGAAUAUUGGACCAUGGGCGAAAGCCUGAUCCAGCCAUGCCGCGUGUGUGAAGAAGGCCUUUUGGUUGUAAAGCACUUUAAGCGAGGAGGAGGCUACCGAGAUUAAUACUCUGGGAUAGUGGACGUUACUCGCAGAAUAAGCACCGGCUAACUCUGUGCCAGCCGCCGCGGUAAUAC